rnacentral:lncRNA from 1 species
GCAUCGAAAGCGUUGGAGAGGUGUUACCGGAACGGCGGCGACAAGGGUGUUCCCGAACUAGAGUGGAUAGAAAAUCAAGUAUAUUUUAAAAGAAGGGAUGUGGGAUCAAGGAGGACAGCCUUGGCAGCAGUGGCCCUUGAACCAGCAACAAUGGAUGCAGUCAUUCCAGCACCAACAGGAUCCAAGCCAGAUUGAUUGGGCUGCAUUGGCCCAAGCUUGGAUUGCCCAAAGAGAAGCUUCAGGACAGCAAAGCAUGGUAGAACAACCACCAGGAAUGAUGCCAAAUGGACAAGAUAUGUCUACAAUGGAAUCUGGUCCAAACAAUCAUGGGAAUUUCCAAGGGGAUUCAAACUUCAACAGAAUGUGGCAACCAGAAUGGGGAAUGCAUCAGCAACCCCCACACCCCCCUCCAGAUCAGCCAUGGAUGCCACCAACACCAGGCCCAAUGGACAUUGUUCCUCCUUCUGAAGACAGCAACAGUCAGGACAGUGGGGAAUUUGCCCCUGACAACAGGCAUAUAUUUAACCAGAACAAUCACAACUUUGGUGGACCACCCGAUAAUUUUGCAGUGGGGCCAGUGAACCAGUUUGACUAUCAGGACCUCCAGGACCUCCAGCACCUCCCCAGAAUCGAAGAGAAAGGCCAUCAUCAUUCAGGGAUCGUCAGCGUUCACCUAUUGCACUUCCUGUGAAGCAGGAGCCUCCACAAAUUGACGCAGUAAAACGCAGGACUCUUCCCGCUUGGAUUCGCGAAGGUCUUGAAAAAAUGGAACGUGAAAAGCAGAAGAAAUUGGAGAAAGAAAGAAUGGAACAACAACGUUCACAAUUGUCC